ensembl:lncRNA
CAGAAGGUGUCUAGAGGUUGAUUGCUUGUAUAGCUAUGAAAAAGAUUAAAUGCUGGGGCUCUGUGUUGCAUUUAUUGAGAAGUAUUGGCUUGUCAGUGACCUGCACCUCUUCCACCUUGCUUCAGAGCUCAGGUCCCUCUGGGCAGCAUUAGGACCACAGGCAGGCUCUGAGAUUGUGGUUUUAAGAGUCUCUUCAUUCCUUCUCUUGCUGGAGCCUACCAAAAAUGCACCUGGCCACAGCUCUUUAAAGACGUGGCUCAUGGAUAGAGAGGAAUGGAGGGAGCUGGAGGAGAGGCCUGGAGGCAGGAGAGGCUGUCUGAGAAAGUACUUCAGCCCUCCCCGGUGAGAUCAGGUUAUCAUCACGGAGAGACUUGUUUUAAGAAGGUGCCACUUCCACACGGCUCUGGAACACCUCCAGGGACGGUGACUGCCCCACCUCCCUGGGCAGUCUGUGCCACUGCCUCCACCGCUCUUCCUGAGGAGAAAUUGUUCCUAAUAUCCAACCUGUUGUGGCUUCUUGUGAGCAGCUCCGUGGUGCAGUUAUGCAGCAGCUCAGGCCCUGCCUGCUGGUGCCAGCUGCACUGCUGCUCAGUCAGCGUGAAAGGAAUUGAUUCUGCUCAGCUUUCUUUAUUUUUUAUUUCAGCUCCCCUGCUGCACGGUUUCUUGGAGCUUUUUUGCCCCACAGUUAAGAUUCCCCACGCAGAUUCACACCAUACCCCUGCAGACCGCGAGUUAUCGAAGCUCAUACAGCACAUCCAAUCAACCUGAAAGGCUGGCUGAGUUACCCGCAUCACUGCUUCACUUCAGUGUUUCUCACACCUUCGUCCUGAAGGAAGGACACAAAGAUGUUACUCUGAUUGUCUUUGGUUUCUUCAGUUUUUCAUCCCCCUUCGAGUUGCACAGGCACCGAAGUAAAGGUGAGCCCACCUGCCAGUCUCUGGGACCCAAGUUUGGCUGUGUUUGGCUGCUUCCAUCAUACUCCACACAACGAAAUUAGGUCAUGACUUUUUGCCUCCCAGAGCUCCUCUAUGCACUGACUGGAGGCACCUUGAAGCUUAGCACAGAAUACCACGCCGAAGCCUUAGGAAUGAAAAGCAAAUAACAGCCACGGUUCGGUAGCGAAGCAGCGCUCACUUCUGUAAUUUCUGACCUUUCAUUUUAGACGUGCGCUUACAAAACGAAGCUGUCAGAAUCCCAUUUUCCUGCUCCAAGUGAAAGGCUAUUGUCUGGAUCGCAGCCUCCUCCAGCCCUCCUCCACGCAUGGCUCCGCGUUGUUUUCC